UUUCCUUUAUGAAACCUCCAGUGGCGGGUCUAAUUGCGAAACCGCCAUUGGAGCGUUUCAAAUUCAUUUUAUUUUUAUUUUUAGUAUUAUAUAAUUGUAUUCUGGAUCAUAAUUGAAUUGGUUUACAAGUUUCUCAAUAUGAUCUAUUUUGUGUGAAAAUUGGGCGCGAUUUUGAACCAUAUUGAUAGUACUUACUUCACAAAACGCCUCA
rnacentral:lncRNA from 1 species